rnacentral:tRNA from 1 species
UAUAUUUUAGUAUUUGAUGUACGAAGGCUUUUGAUGUCUUAGGGAACAGUUUAAUUCUGUUAAAUAUAA